GCCAGUCCCAACUGGAAAGUGUGAUUUUUGCUCCACUUUCCAGUUUUUACCCCAAAGCCUCACCCUUCAAAAUGCGCUAGCCAGAGAGGAACAAAAUCUCGUCAAGAACCCAGUCUCCACCUCUGCCAGCCAUGCCAGAUUUCCUGCAGGAUAAGAACACAGCAAAAAACGUCCAACUGAAGUAAUGCCAAGAUCAAGGGGGGAGAAUCUCUCGAGUGCUGCAGCACUCAUAAUGAACUGGCUUUCCACCAGCCCUGAAAACAAAACCAGUUGGGAAGUACGGCAUCCUCUCUUUGAAGAUAAAUAAACAAAUGUUUAACCAUUUAA